rnacentral:sRNA from 22 species
UACUCGGCUAGGGUAGCUCCCGAAAAGCGGAUUUCGUCACCGCCUGCUGAGCACUAUUUCAUGACGA